AGGAUUAUAGUUAAAUAUAACAUUUGAUUUGCAUUCAAAAAGUGUUGAAAUUUUCAACUUGUCUUA
rnacentral:tRNA from 1 species